AACGCCCUUUGAGCGAAAGGGAAUCCGGUUCCUAU
rnacentral:sRNA from 1 species